rnacentral:lncRNA from 13 species
AUGUGCCUUGCUUCCUUCCUCUUUGCCUUCUGCCAUGAUUGUAAGUUUCCUGAGGCCUUCCCAGCCAUGCAACAUGGUGGAUCCACUCUGGAGCAUGCUCUACAGAGUCUUUUAUGGACCCAAGUGGAAGAAAAGAAGAACAACCCAGUUAUUCACAAAGAUAACUUAGGAAGUAGUGUUCAAAUAUCACAGCUUCUUUGUGCAACAGCCUAUAUCAGUGCUUUGACUUUAGGCUCUACCAGGAACUACACCACUAGUUCUCAUGGUUUGGGGUUCUUCAGACUUGGAUUGGAAAUAUACCACCAGCUCUCCUUGGUCUCCAACUUGCCAAAUGAAGACCAUGGGACUUCUCAGCCUCAUCAUCAUUGGCAUAGCCCACAACCUUCACAGCCUUUGGACACAGUUGCCUUUUGCAAGAGGUGAAGAAAAAUAUUUUCCUGG